UACGUAGGGACCAAGCGUUGUUCGGAUUUACUGGGCGUAAAGGGCGCGUAGGCGGCGCUGUAAGUCACUUGUGAAAUCUCUGAGCUUAACUCAGAACGGCCAAGUGAUACUGCAGUGCUAGAGUGCGGAAGGGGCAAUCGGAAUUCUUGGUGUAGCGGUGAAAUGCGUAGAUAUCAAGAGGAACACCUGAGGUGAAGACGGGUUGCUGGGCCGACACUGACGCUGACAGCGCGAAAGCCAGGGGAGCAAACGGG
rnacentral:rRNA from 1 species